CCCGCCGGCGACCGGCGCACGGGUGAGUAACACGUAUGCAACCUGGCCGCCACAGGGGGAUAACCCGCGGAACCGCGGCCUAAUACCCCGUGACGCCACCGGAGGGCAUCCUCCGGUGGCCAAAGGAGCGAUCCGGUGGCGGAUGGGCAUGCGGCGCAUUAGCUAGACGGCGGGGUGACGGCCCACCGUGGCGACGAUGCGUAGGGGUUCUGAGAGGAAGGCCCCCCACACUGGGACUGAGACACGGCCCAGACUCCUACGGAAGGCAGCAG
rnacentral:rRNA from 1 species